AGAAGGACAUGGCGUAGCCAUGAAGCCUCCGCCAAUUUCAGGCGAAUGUUAAAUACUGUUAAGGGGAGAGUAAUGUGGAUGUUUAAGGAAGCUGCCCUGUUGGGACAAGAAGCUAACCAGCAGAUUUACACUCCCUCUGCUGCAUGCCUCCAAGAAACACGUCCUUGUACUGGUACCAUCGGGGCUUCAGGGACCUGUCUUCUCUUUCUGACUCACUCCUUGGUCCUGGGAAAUGAAGAUAAUAGCCUCACCUGUGAGCAUAUUACUACCAAACUCCAACGAGGGCCACAGUCAACACCAGCGGGACGGCGGUGGAUGCUAUUGUCUUACCUGCCAAUGUGCACCUUGAAGAUGCCUGUUGUAUGAGAAGACCUGGAGUUCAGUAUGAUUGAACCUCUGCUUCAACCUGCAGCUCCUAAGAACAGACUUAGCUCACUGAGUCUUUUCUCUUCUCUGCAAUGCAGACCCGGAUAUGCAGUCGAGGAACUCUCAACUGUUGGCAACAGCUCCAGCGCCAGAAGCGCAAAGAAGUAGCCAGUUUCUGAAACAGGCAGCAAUUGUAAAAACUCCUGUUUCAAGAGGGCAAAUCUGAUUUCUUGCUCCAGAGAAGAAGCAAGCAGCCAAGCUUGGCACUGUAGACGUGAAGAAAGCAGUGUCUUCUCACUGCGUCCAGGAAGGAGUCACAGGUGUCAGUCCCCUGGAAUCAACAGUCUAGCUGUUUGUCAUGAGAAUCAACAACAGAAAAGUAUCGAAUUUCAAUAAGAAAAUUGGAAUGGAUGGACCAGAGAAUCUUGCCUUUCCAUGUAAAAAUCGCAGUACCAUAGGAAAAAACUCAGAAAUGACUGGAGGGGGACACUUUGAUGUGAAAUAAUCUUUAACAAGUAGGAUGGUGGGUGCUCAUUCUGUAAUAACGUUGUAAAGGAAGCAUAAGGAGGCCAGGUUGCUGCUAUCAGCAGGUGAGGCCAAUAACCAAGAUGUUAUACUUAGAUAUCCAUAAUCAGUCAAUUGAAUAAGCUGAACUUGGUAAGAUGUGAGCAAAAACCUACUGUGUUCUUUGGCAUCACUUUUCUUUGAAUUUCUCUCUUGAUUUAUUCCUCCUUGUCUGCAAUUAAAUCUCAGGAAGUUCUCAUAGUUUCAUAAACUUUGUUACUAAACAAAUAGCCUUUGCCCCAUAUUCAAA
rnacentral:lncRNA from 1 species